GGAGCCUCUGCAGUUGUGGUGCCUGAUUGGCUGACAAGCCCAGAUGCUGGCUGAUGGGAAGCUCUAUGCACGUCCAGCUGCUGGAAGGAAGAUGGACUCUAGUCAAAAGGAAAAGACCAAGGUUCAUUGGUUGCUCUAGGACACUCUAGA